GUAGGUGGCAAGCGUUGUCCGGAAUUAUUGGGCGUAAAGCGCGCGCAGGCGGUUCUUUAAGUCUGAUGUGAAAGCCCACGGCUCAACCGUGGAGGGUCAUUGGAAACUGGAGAACUUGAGUACAGAAGAGGAAAGCGGAAUUCCACGUGUAGCGGUGAAAUGCGUAGAGAUGUGGAGGAACACCAGUGGCGAAGGCGGCUUUCUGGUCUGUAACUGACGCUGAGGCGCGAAAGCGUGGGGAGCAAACAGGGAUUGGAUACCCUGGUAGUCCACGCCGUAAACGAUGAGUGCUAAGUGUUAGGGGGGUUUCCGGCCCCCCUUAGUGCUGCAGCUAACGCAUUAAGCACUCCGCCUGGGGAGUACGGCCGCAAGGCUG
rnacentral:rRNA from 1 species